AGUGAACGCUGGCGGUAGGCCUAACACAUGCGAGUCGAACGGCAGCACAGGAGAGCUUGCUCUCUAGGUGGCGAGUGGCGGACGGGUGAGGAAUACAUCGGAAUCUGCCCAGUCGUGGGGGAUAACGUAGGGAAACUUACGCUAAUACCGCAUACGACCUUCGGGUGAAAGAGGGGGAUCGCAAGACCUCUCGCGAUUGGAUGAGCCGAUGUCGGAUUAGCUAGUUAGCGGGGUAAUGGCCCACCAAGGCGACGAUCCGUAGCUGGUCUGAGAGGAUGAUCAGCCACACUGGAACUGAGACACGGUCCAGACUCCUACGGGAGGCAGCAGUGGGAAAUAUUGGACAAUGGGCGCAAGCCUGAUCCAGCCAUACCGCGUGGGUGAAGAAGGCCUUCGGGUUGUAAAGCCCUUUUGUUGGGAAAGAAAUCUUUCAGGCUAAUACCCUGGGAGGAUGACGGUACCCAAAGAAUAAGCACCGGCUAACUUCGUG
rnacentral:rRNA from 1 species